rnacentral:rRNA from 1 species
CCUACGGGUGGCAGCAGUGAGGAAUAUUGGUCAAUGGCCGCAAGCCUGAACCAGCCAAGUCGCGUGAGGGAUGACGGUCCUAUGGAUUGUAAACCUCUUUUGUCAGGGAGCAAAGUGCGCCACGUAUGGCGUUUUGCGAGUACCUGAAGAAAAAGCAUCGGCUAACUCCGUGCCAGCAGCCGCGGUAAUACGGAGGAUGCGAGCGUUAUCCGGAUUUAUUGGGUUUAAAGGGUGCGCAGGCGGAAUGUCAAGUCAGCGGUAAAAUUUCGGGGCUCAACCCCGACGUGCCGUUGAAACUGGCGUUCUUGAGUGAGGGAGAAGUAGGCGGAAUGCGUGGUGUAGCGGUGAAAUGCAUAGAUAUCACGCAGAACUCCGAUUGCGAAGGCAGCAUACUGGCGCUCAACUGACGCUGAUGCACGAAAGCGUGGGUAUCGAACAGGAUUAGAUACCCCAGUAGUC